rnacentral:lncRNA from 1 species
CUCCUCCUGGGAUUUUUAGACACUCUUCCCAAACCCAUGGAGGCUUGCAGAGUUGUUCCUUGGAACAAUCUAAGUGGUUCUCUUGAAAGAUACAACUAACUGGCCUUGACUUUAAGAUGAUGUCUCAGCAUGACCAUCCCACUGGAUACAUAAAGAAUUCACAAGUAUUUCAGGCCCCUGAAAACCUUUACAAGCAUGGAUACAUCUUGGGCAGGCAAACUGCAUAACAAUGCCCCUUCAUCAGAAUCCAUGGAGCCACCACUGAACAGCAAAUUCUUUUCCCAAGGGUGUCUCAAAAAAGAAGAUUCAGAUGUCCUUGGAAGAGAGGGAUGCAGUCUACCAGUCAUGGAAACUUCUGCAUAA